UUACUUACUUUGUUGGUU
rnacentral:siRNA from 1 species